GUCCUUUAGGUAAUUAUAAUUUAAGGUCUAACCUGCCCAUUGAUAAGUUAAAAGGCCGCAGUAAUUUGACUGUGCAAAGGUAGCAUAAUCAUUAGUUUUUUAAUUAAAAGCUUGUAUGAAUGGUUGGACGAGAUAAAAUCUGUCUCUUUAUAAAAAAUAGAAUUUAAUUUUUAAGUUAAAAAGCUUAAAUUUAUAUAAAAGACGAGAAGACCCUAUAGAUCUUUAUAUAAUUUUAUAUAGUAUUAAUAAAGUUAAUUUAAUUUACUAUAAUAAAUUAUAUUUUAUUGGGGUAAUAAAAAGAUUAAUAUAAUUCUUUUUUUUUGAUACAAUAAUUAUUGAUUUUAUGAUCCAUUAUUAAUGAUUAUAUGAUUAAGUUACCUUAGGGAUAACAGCGUAAUUUUUUUAGAGAGUUCUUAUCAAUAAAAAAGUUUGCGACCUCGAUGUUGGAUUAAAAGUAAUUCUAGGUGCAGAAGUUUAGAGUUUUGGUCUGUUCGACCAUUAAAUUUUU
rnacentral:rRNA from 1 species